GAAAUGCGAUAUGUAAUGUGAAUUGCAGAAUUCAGUGAAUCAUCGAAUCUUUGAACGCACAUUGCGCCCGCCAGUAUUCUGGCGGGCAUGCCUGUCCGAGCGUCAUUUCAACCAUCAAGCCCCCGGGCUUGUGUUGGGGACCUGCGGCUGCCCGCAGGCCCUGAAAACCAGUGGCGGGCUCGCUGUCACACCGAGCGUAGUAGCAAUCACCUCGCUCAGGGCGUGCUGCGGGUUCCGGCCGUUAAACAGCCUUACAAAACCCAAGGUUGACCUCGGAUCAGGUAGGAAGACCCGCUGAACUUAAGC
rnacentral:misc_RNA from 1 species